UCAAUGGGGAAUCCCAUUGAUUUGACAAUCACCCUGCAUAAGAGGUGGAAGGCAGAGAGCGCUGGAGCUGGACAGGGAGAUGAGAAGGCUGUCUGAGAGGCGGUGAGGAGCAGCCAUCGGUGGCCUGGUGGCAGUUUAUAGGCCCAGGGCCAUAUGUCCCAGAGUGACAUGCAGGGUUGCAAUUCUGCAAUGACAAAGAACAGCUGCGGUGACCACAGCGUGAACCACGACUGAUGACAAUCUGCAGGGAUUUUUGCAUCAACCCAGCAGUGUGGCUCGCAUAAUGGGACCUAGAGGGAAACUGAAGUUCUUCCGCCCAGACGCUGGACUGUGAAAACUCUAGGUCACAUGUAGGCUACUGGAGAUGAGGAGGCUUCUUUGCUGUGGCUGUUAUCAUCUUUAAGUUCCCAACUCAUGCUGACAGCUUGGGGAUUUUCAGUGACUCAACAAACAAAACGACAGACAGAGCUCCCUGAGUGGGUUCCACACCACCAGCCAUCAUCCUUCUCUCUGGAGGCGUCAGCCGACCCUGAGACACCUGCAAGAGCCUCCCAGUCCUCUCAGAAAUAUCUGUGAUAGUUAGGGAAAGAGACUAACAGAACAGAAAUUCUGCUCAGUGAGAGAGGGAGGUCCCAUGGAAGCUUCUAUAAGCCAGAAUCUUAAAACCAUUUCAUCUUUGGCUUCCUAAAACAACAAACAAAAACAAAACAAACAAAAAUAAACCUCCUAUUUGCUGGCUAAAGACUCACAUCCUUAGCAUAUAAAAAUAGAAAGCUUUUUCUUGAUGUUUGUUUUAGGAAAAAGUAUUCUUAAUUUCCCUGUAGACCCCAGGGAACGGGCUGCUUGAAGUGAGGCGCCUCCAGGGUGGGAGAAACUCCUAAGGGCUACAGGGAUUCCACAUGGAGCCAGGCAGGGUACCCAGCCGGCCAGGGCCAAGGAGUCAUCCCUGAAGACUCUCCCUUAUCCCCGGGAGAAUCUCAGACAUCAAAGGCAACUCACCUUAGGAGGGAAUCAGAUCCCUAACUGGGAUCAAAUACGGGAAGAGGUUCCAGUCCAGGUAGGUGAAACUUAUCAUCCUGGCCAUUAUCUGAUGCUGGCAAGAGGGAGCCCUGAGAAUCACCAGGGGGCAUUCCCCACGACGUUCUGGGAGCUUAAACCCCGCUGACUGCGCAGCUGGGCUUUCUGCAAGUCAUAGUCAUAACGAUGGAUGGACAGUGGCAGCCCCUCUCACCCCCACCCCCAUCGUGUCCUUUCUCUCUAACCAUAGAUCUGUACCAUCUUGAAGGAAGGAAACAGGACUUUGACAGUUCCCAAAACUCUGAUCUGGUGAGAUAAUUUCAUGAGUUUAUCAUGUUCAGGUGUGGUGGCUUGGAUGGCAUCAAAGCUGAGACGAAAGGUGUUAAUUUGAGUGACAGCGUUUACAUGCCCAUAUUGUCUCCAUAGCCUCGGCCGCCCUAGGCUUAUUUUCUCUAGAAACACAAGUUGGAAAAUACCCAGGCACGGUACAACAAACUCCAGCCAUCUUCUCUCUUCUUGGCUUUGAACUGUGCCCUUGGCAGACCUUACCCCCUUCCCCAGCGAUGGUCACAUCUCCUCUUCCAUCUUCUCUCCCUCAGUGGGAACUCGAGGGAAACAAACAGGGAGAACAUGAGGUCCAGCACCUUCUUAGGGGGUGCUCUCCAAAAGCCCAGGCUUACAGAGGCUCAUGGGAAGGCAGUGCUCAGGACGCCACUUAGAUUCCUUUACCCACUGUGGGAGGCGUUCCGGGUGGAAGCCCAGUCCGGGGAAGGAGCCUUGUGGGAGUGUCACAGGACGAGCGUUCUUUUUCUGGGUGGGCUUAUCAUGAGACCCCUGAGGCAACACAGCAGGGUCCUGGGCCAUCAGAGCCAGAGUGUCUCUUUUCCCAGCACAACAGGCAUUGGCUAUAGCAAGGCCAGUGUUGGGUCAUUCUUUCUGGCGGCAGCUAGAUUUGGCGAUCUUGAGGAACGUUGGCUCCCUGAGUUCCAGAUGCUGGUAUCCCACCUGAAGCAUGGUGUAACAUUUCGGUUGAGUGCAGAGUUUUAAAAAUUUUUAAUUUUUUUAAAGUUUUAUUUUAUGUUCAGGGGUUCCAUGUGCAGGUUUGUUAUAUAGGUAAAUUGUGGGUUUUGGGGGUUUGGCGUACAAAUGAUUUUGUCAUACAGAUACUAUGCUCUCACCCACCAUAGUUUUUUGAUCUCUCCCUCCUUCCAUCCUCCACCCUCCAGGAGGCCCCAGAGUCUGUUGCUCCCUUCUUUCUAUACAUGUGUCCUCAAAGUUUAGCUCCCACUGAUAAGUGAGAACAUGUGGGAUUUGAUUUUCUGUUCCUGUGUUAGUUUGCUUAGGAUAAUGGCUUCCAGCCCCAUCCAUGUGGCUGCAAAGGACAUGAUCUUGUUCUUUUUAACAGCUGCAUAGUAUUCCAUGAUGUACAUGGGCCUCAUUUUCUUUGUCCAGUCUGUGGUGGAUAGGCACUUAGGUUGAUGCCAUGCCUUGUUAUUGUGAAUA